GAAAGUAUAGCUCAGUAAUUAGAAACAUUCGACUGCAGAUCGAGAGGUCCCCGGUUACGUUCAAACCCAGGUGCCUUCU